AUUGAACGCUGGCGGCAUGCCUUACACAUGCAAGUCGAGCGGCAGCGCGGGGGCAACCCUGGCGGCGAGCGGCGAACGGGUGAGUAAUGCAUCGGAACGUGUCCUCUUGUGGGGGAUAACCAGUCGAAAGACUGGCUAAUACCGCAUGAGCACGAGAGUGGAAAGCGGGGGACCGCAAGGCCUCGCGCGAGAGGAGCGGCCGAUGCCGGAUUAGCUAGUUGGCGGGGUAACGGCCCACCAAGGCGACGAUCCGUAGCUGGUUUGAGAGAACGGCCAGCCACACUGGGACUGGGACAGGGCCCAGAGUCCUACGGGAGGCAGCAGUGGGGAAUUUUGGACAAUGGGGGCAACCCUGAUCCAGCCAUGCCGCGUGUGUGAAGAAGGCCUUCGGGUUGUAAAGCACUUUCGGCCGGAACGAAAUCGCGCGGGUGAACAUCCCGCGUGGAUGACGGUACCGGAAGAAGAAGCACCGGCUAACUACGUGCCAGCAGCCGCAGUAAUAC
rnacentral:rRNA from 1 species